UACGUAGGGAGCAAGCGUUGUCCGGAUUCACUGGGUGUAAAGGGUGCGCAGGCGGAUCGGUAAGUCAGAGGUGAAAUCUCACAGCUCAACUGUGAAACUGCCUUUGAUACUGCUGAUCUUGAGUUAGGGAGAGGUUGAUGGAAUUCCAGGUGUAGCGGUGAAAUGCGUAGAUAUCAGGAGGAACACCGGUGGCGAAGGCGGGUCUCUGGGCCGAUACUGACGCUGAGGAGCGAAAGCGUGGGGAGCGAACAGG
rnacentral:rRNA from 1 species